AAAUUUCCGAUGGUAAUAUGAAAGGAUAAGCACAAUCACGAAACGGAAAGUUAAACUUAAAAGUUUGUAGAUAGCAUAGGCUUGAUAUCGAUAGAGGAAUGUCUAUUAUUGAUGAGGGAACAGCUUUUAACGAUCCUCGAUACUGCUUUAAGCAAGGAUAAAAACACAAAGAUAGGUAUCUCAAAUGAAUUAGAGAAAGUACUCCACUGGGAAAAAUUGGGUAUAUAUUCAAACCAAGAUCUAGUACUCUUACUAGCUUGAAAGACAAUUCCAGUGUGAAGCAUUUCAAUCCACCCAACAUGAUAAUAGAAUGAGCCUCACUGUUACGACACCAAGCCAAUUCUUCCUUCUUAUAGAUACUGAUCCGACUUCGACUCUUAAAGGAACACUGCAUGGAUUGUGCACAUGAAUUUUGAUCACUCUUUCCUCUGAUAACAUUCACAAAAUUCAUGUUUCGAGCUUCCCUCAAACAGAGUUCACGGAUCACAUCAUGCAUUCCACAUCUCUCUAUUUCCCCAUCAAAACUCAAAUUGUGGAUAGAAAUUAGACUUCUAUCUACAAGUUCGUUUAUACAUGUUUCUGCCACCUCUUCUAUGCUUUUUCCUUCUUCUUCAUUCAAAAACCCCUCUACGGCCCAUAACUCAACAAGUGCAUUUACAUAAAUCCGUUCAUCCUCUGCGAAAAUUGCAAAAUACAGAAAACACGGUUUUAGGUGAGAAGGCAAGUGAUGGUAACUCAAAGCCAACACUCUCAUGCAUUUUGCUUCAAGAUCUCUGCUUACCACCGAACUUACAUUCUCCGCAACAUUUUGCCACUCAUCCAAUGUUUUACUGAUUUUGGAGAGAAGUCCAGCAAUCAAAGUAAUUUCUAGAGGUAACCCUCCACAUUUUAAUGCAAUUUGUUUCCCAAUAUUUUCAAAUUCAGGAGAAUAAGAACCUUCUUUUUCAAAGAUCUUUUUGUGUAGUAAAUUCCAACUUUCGUCAAAAUUCAUGAGGCGCAUNNNNNNNNNNNNNNNNNNNNNNNNNNNNNNNNNNNNNNNNNNNNNNNNNNNNNNNNNNNNNNNNNNNNNNNNNNNNNNNNNNNNNNNNNNNNNNNNNNNNNNNNNNNNNNNNNNNNNNNNNNNNNNNNNNNNNNNNNNNNNNNNNNNNNNNNNNNNNNNNNNNNNNNNNNNNNNNNNNNNNNNNNNNNNNNNNNNNNNNNNNNNNNNNNNNNNNNNNNNNNNNNNNNNNNNNNNNNNNNNNNNNNNNNNNNNNNNNNNNNNNNNNNNNNNNNNNNNNNNNNNNNNNNNNNNNNNNNNNNNNNNNNNNNNNNNNNNNNNNNNNNNNNCAUGUUCAGGUAAACUGACAAGUGAGCUAGUUUGUGGUUUUAGAUCUUUCAUGCUGUCCGAUGCUGCCAUCCACUGUUUCACGGUGGAAUCAAUGUAUUCUAGUGCUUGUUCCAAGACGAAAAAAAUCUCCCACAUAGCCCUGCUUCUUUCCUCCAAAUUCUGUGCUAAAAAAACAUUUCUUGAUUCCGAGUCAACCAUAUCUUCUGUUGUGUAUGCUACCUCUGCGAUUUCAACUUCCAAGAUUGUUAACCCCUCAUGAUCGCCCAUUAUAUUGCAGGAUUUCUCCAGAAUAGCUCUCAAAGAUUUGAGCUUUUCAUAAAACGGUUGCAAAUCACAUCCAGUAAGUUCCAUUGAUUGAUGUAUGGUUCUCAUAAGGGAAGUAACAGCAGCAUAAGCCAUAUAUCCAAAAAAUAGAAAUAUCUCUCAGUAUGAAAAUGGACAAAUUGCCACAAGUUAUGUAAUUUUUCAGUUUUUAAGAAAACAGAAAAUGCAAAGUUCUUUCUUUUACUAGCUAUUUCCAUCACAUUUCCAGCUAGGUCCACCAACCUUAUCAUCAUGUAGACAAAAGCAGAGACCAAAGUUAAAAAAAAGUAGAAAAAUUUGUGAUCAUUCAUUAUUAGACCGUACACAUAUCUAUUCAUGAAUAUAAGUAUGCUUCUUACAUACAAGAGAUUGAUGAUUUUAAUUACAUUGAAAGCAACUUAGUAGAAUUUUCCAAAUCAAAGAGAGAAAUAUUAAGAUCCAAGUAGGAAUUUCUCUAUUCCUAGUUCGAUUCAAUUAACCAAGCAUAAAUAUCUCUUAAUAUACAUGAGAAGUUUAGACUCUAAAAGUCAAAUCAACAAAAUAUUUAUGGGCUAACACAUGAAAAACUAUUGAGAAAAUCGCCUAAUUUCUGUAAAUUGGCCCUUAAAUCUCCAAAAUGAACUCUAAAAAUUGUCAGACUGUACGUAUUGCUCCCCAACUCCCUACUGAGGGUUCUGUAAAGAUUUCGAUUAGAAUUCGUCCGUAAGUCAUAUCACCAAUAUAUUAAUGACUAACACACACGAAAAACUGAGAAAAUUGUCUAAUUUCUUGAAAUUGGCCCCUAAAUGCCUAAAAUGGACUCUAAAAGUUGUGAGACUGUACGUACUGCUCCCCCGACUCCCUACAGAGGGUUUCGUAAAUGUGUAGCAAAGAAAUCGUCUGGAAGUCAUAUCACUAUAAUAUUAAUGGGCUAACACACACAAACCACUGAGAAAGUCGCGUAUUCCUGUAAAUUGGCCCCUAAAUGCCCAAAAUGAACUCUAAAAUUGUGAGACUAUGUACUGCUCCACUAACUCCCUAUGGAGGGUUCCGUAAAGAUUUCACAAAGAAAUUAUUCGGAAGACAUAUCACCAAAAUAUUUAUGGGCUAAUACAUUUUUAUUUGUCCAUUUGAUUUGACAUAUCUUUCAAGUACUUUGAUCUGGUUAUACUUUUUUUUUAUUGCUAAAAAUAAAUAUCCACUUUUACUUGUUCAUUCUACAAAACAAAGACAAUAUUUUAUUGCUUGAUUCAGAUAUAAAAUUUGAGUAGGCUAAUUUACAAACCAUCUGUAGUCAUCCUGCCCCUAUGCUAUAACAUUUGAAAGAAAGAGGUCAUCAUCAUCAUAUUCAUCAUCGUUGUCAUCUUCAUCAUCAUCUUCAUCAUCGUUGUCAUCUUCAUCAUCAUCUUCAUCUUCUUCAUCAUUAUCAUCAUCAUCAUCAUGAUCGUCAUCGUCACUUGUUUCCUCACUGUUGAAAAAGCCAGCAACAAAAGAUGAAAAAUGAAAUGUUAUGCAAGUAUAACAAGUUACACAAUUACUAUAUUGGAAGGAUUUAAAUCAUAUACAAUGACAACGUAUGAACUUUUACACUAUAGGUGCCAUUUAACUGCUUAUUAAAGCAAUUUAUAAUUAUUUUAUUACUAGUUCUGGACACGUGCUUUGCAUGUGUAUAUUACACGUUUAGUCACGAUUGUAAGAGGGUGUACACCAGGAUCAUUCGAAGAGCAAAGUCGUGUGAGCCUUACAGAUAUUCUUGACGUACUCCUAUUAAAAUCUGUAUCAUAUUCGUAACUUUUUGAAUGAGGUUCACCUUUUUCCUCAUUGUACUUUGUACAUGGAUGUUGUCCAUCACAAUAUCCCCUUUUUCAAAUUUCAUAGCUGAACUACUAGGUGUACGAGUUCCUACCAGAACUACUACCAACUAUUUAUCAAAACACACAUCAACUAUAUAUGAGUUGUUCCCUUUUACUAGUGGUGACAAAUAGGUGGAUUUGGACGGGACUGAAAAUGGAUUGAGCAACAUGGUCGUAACUCACUUAAUCUCUUAAAGCCAGAAAACUUUAAAGAGUUAAUUGAAAUAAACUUAAUGACUAUCCUACUUGAAGUAUCACCGUCGUUCAGGUAAGAAAAAGGAAGUAUAUCAAGGAAGAAGAUGUCUUACAAAGCCUGAUGGAUAUGGACCUCGAUAGAACCUCCAUAGUUGUCUUGAAUGUCCUGUUGAAUCUGCUUUGCGGAAUUCCCAACAGAUUCUGGGCAGUUUCUUAUAUAGAUUAGAGCAAGUGUGGUUAUAUCUGCAAAAUCUUGAGGGAUUGAGUCCAAAAACCUGCAACUAUCAAGAAAUAGUCGUUCAAGGCACGGAAAGUGAUCACAACUAGCUCUCCAGUACUGAAUAUGUGAUCUUUUAAGUAACAAGAACUUCAAAAAAGGAAACCCUUCCUCAGCUACUUCCCACUCCCUGCCUCUGCAUACACCCUGUGUUAGUUCAAGAAGUUCAAGUUUGGGCAAUUUUCCGACAACAAUGCUUAAAUCCUUCCAUGACAAGAAGAAAUUUCCUGUAAAAGUUAAAUUCUUAAGGUUUCGUGGAAAAGCAUCUGGAGGAGGUAAGAUCAAAGAUGGAACAACUUCUACAACAAGUGGAUUCCUUGUCUGAAAACACAUUCUCCUCUCCAAAAAGUAAGCAUUAUUUUGAGGAGGAAGACAAAAUGCUAGUUCCUCGAGAUGAUCUAAGUAGCGAAAAUCAUAGAGGUCUUUGUGACUAUGGAAGUCUUGUGGGAUGCCACGUACUUGCAACUCCUUUAAAUUGGGAAAUAGUCUAAAGAAAGAUGCAGUACAAUAGCUAGGAUUCCAUCCAAACAGAGAAUGUAAAUUUUUCAUAACCAAACUUUUCUCUGUAAGCUCAUGAUAUCGCAAGUAAUUCCGAUCCAAAUGAAGGUGCCUCAACUGUGGCAUUGUCAAAAUAUCUGAUGGUAAUAUCAAAGCAUGUUUACGAAGAUUAAUGACGAGUGGAAGGUAAAGUACCAAACUUUGCAGAUAGCAUAGGUUUGAUAUGGAUGUAGGAAUGUCUACUCUUGAUGAGAGAACAUCUUCUUCGGAUCCUAGAUAUUGCUCAACGUUAGGAUAAAUACGCAAAGCUAGGUGUCUUAAGUGAAUCAAAUAAAGUAUUUCACGGGGAAAAGUUAGACAGAUAUUAUCAGCAAGAUCUAGAACUCUUACUAGCUUGAACGGCAAGUACUCCCUCAUGCAACAUCGGAAUCUACCAAAUAAGAUAACAGAAUGAGCUUCACUGUUAAGGCACCUAACAUACUCUUUCUUAUUAUGGAUGCUGAUUCGACUUCGACUCUUAGACAAACACUGCAUGGAUUUCACAUAUGAAUUUUGAUCAUUCUUUCUUCUGAGAACAUUCACAAAAUUCAUGUUACGAGCUUCCAUCAAACAGAGUUCACGAGUCAUAUCAUGAAUUCCACAACACUUAAUUUUUCCAUCAAAAGUAGUACUUUUAAUGGAAAUUAAACUUCUAUCAAUAAGAUCUUGUAGGUACUUUUCUGCCACUUCUUCUAUGCUUUUCAUCUCUUCUACCUUCAAAAAUCCCUCUGUUUCCCACAAUAUCAUAAGUUUAUUGACAAAAAUCAGUUUAUCCUCUGGGAAGAUUGCGAAAUAUAAAAAGCAUGGUUUUAGGUGGUGAGGCAAGUAAUGGUAACUCAUUGCCAACACCCUCAUGCAUUGGACACCAACAUCUGUGCUUACUGCUGAACUUACAUUUUCAGCAACACUUUGCCACUCACUCAAUGCUUUGUCAAUUUUAGUGAGAAGUCCCGCGAUCACAACAAUUGCUAGAGGCAAUCCUCCGCAUUUCAAUGCAAUUUGCUUUCCAAGUUGUUCAUAUUCAGGGGAGAAAGAGUCUUUCGUAAAGACUUUUUCAUAUAAUAAAUUCCAACUUUCGUCAAAAUUCAUGAGGCGCAUGUGAUGAGGAAGCUUACCUGAGCUAGCAUAUUCAGCCACUUCCACAUUCCGAGUAGUCAAGAGUAUUCGGCUUCCAUUAUGAAAGUCUGGGAAACAUAUUUGUAUAUCAUCCCAAGCUUUUGUAGUCCAUAUGUCAUCAAUGACUACCAAAUAUCUCUUGCCUUUUAGAAGCUUUUGCAGUCGAUCUGCUAGUUGCCCGUCAUGUAGCUGAUCAUAAGGUUUAUCACUUAUACAAGAAAGAAGGUCUAGGAAAACAUUUCUCACACAAUACUCUUGUGAAACAGUAGCUUUUGCACGUAUGUCAAAGCGAUACAUCAUGCAUGGAUCGUUGUAGAGUUUUGUUGCCAAAGUUGUCUUGCCAAUGCCUCCCAUACCUACAAUUGAUACAACUUCUAGUUCUCUUUCUCCUCUAGCAAGUUGAUCCAGCAUCAUCUUGAAUUCAUUUUCAUAGCCAACCAUUAUAACCUCGGACCGCUCAACAGCAAGUUCAGGUAUCUUGGAUAGACAGAAAUUUUGUGCUUUGAAAUCUUUAAUGUUGUUGUACCAGUCCCAUAUUGCCAACCACUGCAUCAUGAAGGAAUCAAUACAUUCUACCUCUUGUUCCAAGGAACAACAGAGUUCCCAGAAAGCUUUGCUUCGUGUAAUUACAGUUUCUGCAGAAGAAACUUUUCUUGAUUUCGAAUCAACCAUGUCUUCUGCUUUGAAUGCUACCUCCGUGAUUUCAACUUCCAAGGUUGUUAACCCCUCAUGAUCGCCCGUUAUAUUGCAGGAUUUCUCUAGAAUAGCUCUCAAAGAUUCGAGCUUUUCAUAAAACGGUUGCAAAUCACAUCCAUUAAGUUCCAUUGAUUGGUGUAUGGUUCUCAUAAGGGAAGUAACAGCAGCAUAAGCCAUAUAUCCAAAAAAUAGGAAUCUCUCACUCUCAGUAUGAAAAUGGACAAAUUAAUUGCCACAAGUUAUGUAAUCUUUCUUUUACUAACUAUUUCCAUCACAUUUCUAGCUAGGUCCACUAACAGGAUAAAGUAGAAAGAUGUGAGGUCACUAACCUUAUCAUCAUGAAGACAAAAGAAGAGACCAAAGUUAAAAAAAAAAAAAGACGAAAAAGUAGAAAAAAUUGUGAUCAUUCAUUAUUAGACCCUACACUAAUCUCUUCAGAAAAAUAAAAUAAAAUUUUAGUUUAAAUAAAGGAAUUCAAGCUGUAUAUUGAUAACGUCCAAUUCAAAUUCAAGUGUAGUACGGUCUAGCAAUAAUAAACUCAACAAAAGUUGGAGUCGAGGAGUACGCUUGUGUCAAGGUGACAGAGAGUGUGCGAAUUUGCUAACAAACAAAAGGUCUUUCUUUUAGCUAGGUCCAUAAUCCAUGUAGUGCUCUAUACUCUCUAGUCUCUAUCAACCAGCUCAAGUUUAAGGGUGUGUUUGGUAUGGAGGAAACAUUUUCUCUAGAAUAGGGAGAGAUUUGUGCAUAAACAAGGAAGAAUCUCUCAGUAUAACAGUGAAUGGGUAUUUUUUUAAGAUUUGCUUCUUUUGUGUAUGACUUUUGUAAGAAACAUUCUGGUAAAAGUUAAAAAAAAUGAUCUUGUGGAAUAGCCACAGUGAAUUCCUUAAUAUUCGAGUAGAAAAAGCCAGAGAGGAUAACAUUGCUAUUUGUACACUUAUCGUGACACGAGUAGUCUCUUAAAUAUUACACCUUUCUACUGAUGUUGCUGAUGCCACUGGAUUUAGCCUUCCGUCUUCCUUUGCAAGGUAGAUCGAGGACUCCCAAGAAAGGAAACACAAGUUACUGGAGUCUGUUCUGGCCUAUACAGUAUGUAUGUACAUAAAAUUUGGAGUAUCUAAAAACCACUGACAAAUGGCUAUACGAAAGAUCAUAUACAAUUAAAUUACAAGCCAUUUGCAAUCAUCCUGCCCCUUUAUGCAGAAUCUUUUCAAAGAAAAUGAAAACGAACAAAACAAACACUCACACAUUUGGCUUCUGAUUUGACAUUUAUUUCAGAGAACUGGCUAGUCGCUGCAGGAAAAAAAAAGACGCAAAAAAUGGAAAAUAAUAUGUUAGAUGUCCCAUAAUUAAGGAACAAGAGAACAUUAUAGCAAGAAUGAGCAUGCAGGUAUAAGAACUUACACAUUAUUGCGGCAAGAAGCAACUUCUUUCUCAAAGUCAUCAUCAUCAUCUUCAUCUGUUGUUACACUAUCGAAAAUGCUAGCUACAAAAGAUGAAAAAUGAAAUGUUACACUUCCCAAAAUCAAGAAUGAGCAUGCAAGUAUAACAAGUUACACAAUAUUGGAAGGAUUCGAAUCAAUCACAAUGACAGCAUCAAGAACUUUUGUUGAAUUGGUGUAAUUUGACUUACUAAAGCUAUUAUCCAGAUUAUUAUCGAGUUUACUAUAAUGAUGAGUUAAAUAUUGUUGUAAAUCAAGGAAGAAGAUGUCUUACUAAAGAUUACGAGUAUGGACCUCGAUAGAGCUUCCAUAGUUGUCUUGAAUGUCCUGUUGAAUUUGCUUGGCGGAAUUCCCAACAGAUUGUUGACAGUAAUGUAUAUCAAUAAGAGCUAGUGUGGUUAUAUCUGCAAAAUCUCGAGGGAUUGAAUCCAAAUACUCGCAAUUUCUAAGAAAAAGUCGUUCAAGGUACGGAAAGUGAUCACUACUAGCUCUCCAGUACCGAAUGUAUAUUUGAUCCAGAAACAAGAACUUCAAGUGAGGAAACCCUUCCUCAACUACUUCCCACUCCUCGCCUAUGACGGCAUUGUGUGAUAGUUUAAGGACCUCGAGUUUGGGUAAUUUACCAACAAUGCUCAAAUCCUUCCAUGCCAAAAGGAAAUCUCCUCUAAAAGUUAAACUCUGGAAAAGAUUAAUUAACAAAAAUUUAUGGUACUAAUUGGGGUAUUAAUUAACAUAUCCUUACUUGAUCACAUAUGUAUUGUUCUGUGUGAAAUUUUCCUCUGACUGAUAGUUGACUAAAUUAUAUUGCAUACGUUCGUGUACAUUUUCUCACUUGGAAGAGUGGAUUUGGACGUAAUUAACUAUCACCAUCGUUUAGGUAGAAAAAAGAAAAUAACUAAUAGUUGAAUGUUUUAAUACAUAGAUGAUCAACUAAUAUGAGAAGAAAAGAGUAGCGUAAAUGUGAGAUUCACUUCUCACCAAGAAUCCUCCUUUCUUAUUAUUUUCCUUUUAGAGGUUAAUAAUUAUUAAGUAUCCCUAGAAUAAUUUAUUGAAAAAGUAGAUUUGAAAGAAAGCAAUUACUCUCUUCUUCCUAUGCGGGACUUCUUGAACAUAACUAAUUUGACAAAAACCACAAUUUUAUUUAUUUUUAGGUGGAAUUAUAUCAAUAAGGAACUAUAUAUGCUUAUGAUAUUAAUCUAAGACCAUUAUUUGUUACUUGAACACAUGGAUUCAUCAUCUGAACAAUUGAAACAAUUAAUACUUGUGUGAACCUUUUUUUAUUUCGAGUGAUGUGUCAUAAUCAUUAGCCAACUAAGACUAGCGUUAAAUUUUUGGUAAGUCUCAAGAAGUGUAAUUAAUACUUAAUAAAAUAAUCUCAUCCUUGAGAUUCAAGAACUUGUUUGGAUUGAAUAGGUUUUUAUCAUCAAGAUCUAGAACAAAGUCUUAAUAUUAGUAAGAGGUAUUUUUGUGUGAAAAGUUUUCUUUGAGGUUCGAGAAAUGGAAUAGAUAUGGACUACAAGUUGAUAUUUCCCAUUGGAAAAUUCACACAAAAAGGAACAAGGAAUUCUCAAUGAAAAAAGCGCUCUCCAAAUCUGUUUAGUAUUUGUCAUGAGGUUCUUAUCAUAAUUGGAUUUUCCUUUUAGGAAAAGGUAAACACAGUCUCCAUAUUUGUCUAGUUCUUUUUCUUGUAGGAAAAAAAUUAUGACUCUAUAAAUAGAUGUUUUGUAACAUCCGACAAUUUGAAAUAGCUAAGAAGAGGCUUGAAAUUUGGAAAUUUUCAAUUUUUGGAAAGGAUUUGAAAAUCUGGAAAAUUUGGCUAAGUAUGGGAAAGGUGAGUUUUUUUGGGCCCAAACUUUGAACAACCAUAAAUUCUAGCUCAGGAUGAGUUAGGUGGAGUUCCGGUUAUGUUUGCAUAGCCCUCGGAACGACCUUUCCAACGCCACUGAGUUUGCUCAAUUCUGAGUUCGUAUGAGCGAGUUAUGGCCAUUGAAAGUUGGGCAGUUGGCAGGGAAUCCGUCCGGAAAAUUAAGGGCAUUUUAGUCUUUUCCCUAGCCAAUUCUUUUGGGAUUAUAUUGUUGUAUAGGGCUGAUCUUUAGAUCAUUUUGUCCCAUUUUAAGAAAUUAAAAUCUAGGGCUUGAGAGUGAAGAAGAGAAGAAGGAGAAGAAGAAGAGAAAAAUCGAGGAGAUCAACAAGUUUCCGACAAGAUCAUCGUGAAUGUUCGUCGGGGGUGAUCCCUAUCAAGGUAUGUGAGCUUUUAGUGUUGGGUGAUACUUUCCCCCACACACCUAGCCCCUUUUAUUUAUUAAGGAAGGAUUGGUUAUGUUGUUAAAGUUGUUAGUUGUUGUGGUUGAAGUUGUUGGAGUUGUUAAAGUUGUUAGUUGUUGUUGUUGGAAUUAUUGUUGGUGGUGGGACAUAAUUGAGUUGUGUUUUUAUGUUGAAAUCUAUUGAAUGUUGAGGGAUUUUAUGUUUCUAAGUGAUUGGGGGCUGGAAUCUUUGAGGUUAGAGGGUUUAGAGUUGGUAACGUGAAGGAGAAAGUCGGGUAGCUUGCGAGGAGCAUGUCUGCGUCGCGGACUUGUUCCUCUGUGAACAAAAAAUCUUCUCCGCGUCGCGGACAGGACGCAGACUCCACUGUUUUCAGAAUUUAUGUUCGAAGAUUUUCUUAGGUUUGGCUGUCCCAAAUCAUUCGCAAAUCAUUCCUAAACAUCAUGAGACCCUUCCAAACACCAAUCAAGUCCUUGAAUCCAUAAUCCAAUUCAAGGUGAGUUAUGAUCAAGUCAAGUGAAGUUAGUUUUCAAGUCAAGUGAAGUUAGAAGUCAAGUGAAGUUAGAGCCAAGCUUAGAAGUUAAGCAAGUCAAAGCAAGUCUUUAAAGCUUUUCAAGAGUCUUCAUUGAACGUUUUGACUUCAUUCUAAGGCUCAAGUUCCAAGUUAAGUAUAGAGUUUCAAGUCAAGCAAAGAGUCUCAAGUUUCAAGUUAAGUAAAGAGUAUCGAGUUUCAAUUUAAGUCAUAAUUUUUCAGUCAAGAGUCAAGAGUUGAGUUCAAUUCUCAAAAGUAAUUAGGGAACUAAGUAUUUCCCAAAGAAGUUUUAUAAGUGUUUUCACAUUUAAGUUGAGAGGAAACGGAGAUUUCCAAAAGAGUUUUGAGAAGUUUGAGCACUAUCUCUUUUAAAAGAAAAGAUGAGUUUUUGAAAAAGAGUUUCUAAAUUAUGAUUAGUAUGACAAAUGGAGUAUGUCAUCAAUGUUUAAACAGUAUGGUCUCUAGAUAUACCAUCAAUGUUUAAGCAGUAUGAAUAUCCCGAGUCAUCAAUGAUCAUAAAAAAAAAAAAUGUGGUUUUGACUUGUUCUAUUUAGAAAGAGUUUUCAAGUGCCUUCGGGCUAAGUUUUGAGUAAUUAUCUCAACUAAAGAAAGAUGUGCUUAAAACACUUAUGAGCUAAAGUAUUUUGGGAGUAGUAUCGAGCACCGAAUUGGGGAAACGAGUUCAUAUUAAACUCAACUCUCCAUAAGAACCAUGUAGCCAAACAUGGGAUUUCUCGGAUCAUACUUUUUAGAUGAUCACGAAAGUUAAGCUAGUGGAUCCAUUAAGCAAAAGUUAAAGUAAGGUCCUAUAUCGAUGGCAAGGUAUAGGAUGGUCCUUGGGCAACGUGAGGUAAAACGUUGUAUCACCACUCAGAUUCAUAGUGGUGGUUUGUCGGUUAGAGAAGCUCCCACAGUAGAAAGAGCAUGGUUCCUCGAGGGUUCUGCUUAGUAUGGAUGGGGGUAUGGGACUUCAUUCAUGCAUUGCACAAGUAGACUUUGAGAGGAAGCAUGGUAUUUUUAUGAUAUUAUAAAUAUGAUUUUUACGUCAUGUUUUAAUAGUUUCAAAAGCUUUAUAUAUAUUGCAUGUGUCUCAUUGCUUUAUAUUAAGUUCAGUUAUUCUUGAGUUGUACAGAGCCAAGGUAAGUUCUCUUUUGUAUCCCUUUUCAAGCUUAAGUUGUUGUUUAGCGGUCCAGCUCGCAUACUCGUACAUUCCAUGUACUGAUGCCAGUUGGCCUGCAUCUUAUGACGAUGCAGACACNNNNNNNNNNNNNNNNNNNNNNNNNNNNNNNNNNNNNNNNNNNNNNNNNNNNNNNNNNNNNNNNNNNNNNNNNNNNNNNNNNNNNNNNNNNNNNNNNNNNNNNNNNCAGUCAGUUAGUUUUGAGUCUCUCAUCUAUGUAUAUAUGUAAAUAUUCUAUUUUGAGACUCGAGUGGCCUUUUUGGCCAGAUGUGUAUCAUUUAAGUUGUUUAUGUCUUUGCAUGGCAUUGAGUUAUUCUGUUGAGUAGGUUUCCGCUGAGUUAAGAAAGCCAGGCCAAGGGUUCGCUUGGGGCCAGCAAUGGUCUCUGAGUGCCGGUCCCGCCCAGGGUGUAGGCUCGGGGCGUGACAUGUUUAUUCAUUCUAGCUUGGUAGCAUUCAUAAUGCAAUCCUAGGGGGCUUUGAGAGUUUUGUGUAUUGUGUGAAGCUAGAGGAAGAAUGUAUGAGACACAAGUAUUACUUUAACACUUGUGUGAACCUCUUUGUAUUCAGAGUGAAUUGUGUGAGGUUAUUCUUCUCUAGAUUUUAUAGUGAUUUUUUCAUCUCCUCUUGUGGAUGUAGAUCGGUUGACCGAACCACGAUAAAUGUUUGUGUCUUUUGAUAUAUUUCUUGUUUGUCUUAUUACUCAUCGUCUUUCAAGGUUUGCUUUGCUAGCUUUUGCAUGACACCUAAUUAUUUCAGUCCCAACAAGUGACAUCAGAGUCAGGUUCAAUGGUUUAAUGAUUCAAUGGUCGAACCAUGUUAAAAAUAAGUGUUCAUCUUGACGGGUUUAGUUCUAGCCGUAACAUAUUUGACAGUAAUGAAGAUUUUUGUUGGAGAAAUAUUUUCAAAGAUGUUUUCUGUGUUGAUAUAUAUAUAUAUAUAUAUAUAUAUAGAUUUUGCAGAGGAGAUGCAAGGUAUUGAAGAUUAUGUGAAGAAGGUGGAUCAAAUUUAUUUUGUCAGAAAUUUAGGCCAAUGGAGAUAUUUGUUUAGUAUUUGUCAUGAAUUUCUUAUCAUAAUUGGGUUUUUUCUUUUAGAAAAAGGAAACCACAAAGUUUCCAUAUUUGGCUAGUUCUUUUUCUUGUAGGAAAAUGUUUGACUCUAAAAUUAUAUGUGUAUUCCUUCUAGCCUAAUAGCAUUUACAAUGUAGUCCUAAGGGGCAUAGAGAGUUUUGUGUAUUGCGUGUAGCUAGGGGGAGAAUGUGUGAGACACAAGUGUUACUUUAACACUUGUGUAAACCUCUUUGUUUUUCCAUUGAAUUGUGUAAGGUUAUUCCUCUCAAUAUUUUGUACUUUCUUUUAUAUAGUGAAUUGCUCAUAUCCUCUUUUGGAUGUAGGUCGGUUGUCCGAACUACGUUGAAUAUUUAUGUCUUUUGGUAUAUUUUUCGUUUGUAUUAUUACUCAUGGUCUUUCAAAAUUUGCUUUGCUAGCUUUUGCCUGAUACCUAAUAAUUUCAGUCCCAACAAAACCAAACGUGAAAGUUGUUUUCCAGCAGACAACUUUUCUAGUAGCUCUACUCUCGACUUGGAUAAUUUAACCAAAAAGGUACGCUUUCGGCCAUUCUACAUGCUGCCUAUGUAGAGACAUGUUUAUCUAAAGUGGAUUCUCUUUUUUGUAGUAGGUAUCAAACCUGUUAUGCCCAUUGACUAAGAAGCUAGGGGUGGACACAACAACUACAUGGACCUCUUUCUUACAUCGGCCAUCACUAUUAAUCGUCUUUGUUAUCACAAUGACCACCACUAUUACCGUCAUCAAACAUCUCUGUCCUCACAAUUACCAUUAUUAUCAACCACUACUAUAUAUCAAACAUUUGCUAUAUUUAUGUUUUUUAUUGACAUAAACAAUGGGUUAACAUGAUAUAAUUUAUUAGUAGUUUUAUAUAUUUUUCUUAUAAUAAAGGAAACAAUCACUUAUACAUUCUUUGAGAUCAUUUAGUUUAAAAUCAGGAGUGGAAUCAUAACUAGGGUUAUAGCUUAGCAUCAAUUCACCUUCUUAAUUAAUGGGAUAAUUUAAUUAGCUAAAUUUGAAUGAAAAGAAGAAGAAAUUGAUUAAUUUAAUUCGUUUACGUUCCAAUGGGGUGUGCAAUAUCCAUAAAUUUGUCAUGUCGUUAUUAGGUGUUCAUGAGAUGCACAUAUUCCAAGCAAAAGUACCUAUUUGAUCACUAGAUGAGUUUAAGUAUUCAAUUUACAAAUUCUGCCAAAUUUGAGGGACUAUCUAGGUAUUAUUUAGAUAAAAUUAUUUGUAUAGUCCACUCUAAACAUACUUAUAAUUAAGCAAGUAACAUAUACUAUAUAAAGAAGCUUCUAGAGAUAAUUAAAGUUAACUCUAUAUAAUUAGAGUUGCAAUAACAAAUACGUCAAAACAUUAAAGUGUUUCACCAAUAAAGUCAUUUUUUUAAUGUCCAAAACUAAUCCAAUGGAAGCUCUAUUAUGUGGAACACCAGAAGAAGUUUCAGUAUUGUUGGUACAUCAUGAAGUAGAAUUUCUUACUAAUCAGACUGUUAAAUUGUUAGAGGCUUAUAAAUACAAAGGUGACAUUCUAGAAUUUUUUUAACUUUUUUGUUUCUUUGAUAUAAUAACUAAAUGCCGUGUGACAUUUUUUUUUAUAUAUAGAGAGAGAUUGAAAUGAUAUGCUUUUUGUUAUCUCAUUUAUGAUUUUAGCAUCGUCCAUUUUUAAAUUUCAUUUAUCUUGUAAAUCUUGAACUUUUCUUUUUCCUUGUUAUCAUAGCACUUUUUAAUUUUUACAAAUUUAUCUAUCCUCGAAGAAAAAUAAUUCUACAUUAGUGAUGGAUGCACAAGAAAUUAGGAUGACGGGAGGGAAGAGAAAGAGCACGAAAAAGACAUGAUAAGAGAUGAUCUGUCUAUCAUUAUUACUUGAGAUAAUAUUUUUUUGUCUUUUAUUGGAUGUAUAAAAAAAAAUGAGGAGAUCUAAUUUUCAUUAAAAAAACAUUUCCCUUUCUAUUUUUUGUUUUUGUUUUUCGUUGGACGUAGACAAAAAAUUGGCAACUCCUUUCUUAUACUUUGUUAGAUCAUCUAAUUACAUAUCUAUGAAAUAAAAUUACCUCAAAACAUUUUAUCCUAUUAUCUUUUGCUUUAAUAUUUAUUUGUUUUUGACAAGCCAUAAAUAAAUUGGAAUAGUUUUUAGAAAUAUAUUCUUUAGGAUCUUCUCUAGUUUUUAGUAAUCCAAUUAACGAAAAAAAAAAACUAAUAUAUACUUUUUAUGUAACCAAUCUAGUUAAGAUUGCACUCAUCAUUUAUAAUAUAAGUUGAUUAAUAUGUGUUAUUUUAAAAAUUAAAGUGCAGAAAUAUAACAUGAAAAUUCACAGUUGAAUUUGAAUAACAAACAAACAUAUCCAAAUGAUACCUUUGUGUACAAUAUUUUUUUUUUCAUAAUUUUCACUGAUUUCAAAUUGCACGGGUAUAUGUAGUUACGGAAGUUAUGGCUCCUGCGGCAAUGUCAAUGCUUUUCAAAGAAAAGAAAAAAAUUGAUGCAAUGAUAAUCAAGGUCAUUUCACCGGAUUCACAUUGCUUUGAGCUCCUGGCACAAGCUGUAACCUUGAACAUCAUCGUAGUAAGUAAGUAUUUAUAAUUCUAUCUUCCACUUAUUAUUAUAGACGGUAAAGUAAGUUUUUUUAAUUAACUAUUGCAUAAUGUAUAUAAUAUUAUUCAAUUUUAAUUGCUAUCUUCUUGAUAUAAUUAUGCAGUUGUCUAUGAUGAACUCAAUGAAUUCUUAGUGAAGAAAGCUUUGGACAAUGGAGCUUACAUUUGCUCGAAGAAGCCUCUUGUCGAGCAAACUAUGACAUUCUUGUGGCAAUUUGUAUGGAGGGAGAAAACACAAAGAGGGAAAUCAAUAAAAAGAGUAGAAACAAAGGGAGAUCAUAUUUUUGUUUGAAGUUAUUGGAGUUCUGAGAAAACAAUAGGUCGUGGUUUUUUCCUCCCUUGAGCAAAGAGGUUUCCACGUUAACAUAUGUGUUCUUACUUUAAGCAUUUAGAUUACUUCUUGUUAUCAGUAUAGUCAAGUGGUCAGAACACGAGAAGACAUGUCACUAAACAACAACAUAUAUAGGAAAAAACAAACUCUGCUAAGUGAUCGAUCCGUGUGUGAUAGUUGCCUUCUUAACCUUGAACUAUUGCUUCCUGCUAGAUUAUAUGAACUUAGAUAUGUAUACAAAUUAGUAUUCAAUGAGUUCCCAAACAUUCGUGCAUAAACAAUUUCCCCUGUUGUCGUGCCACCAGGACUUAGCAUAUGUUCUGUAUUUGUAUAAUUUCGAUGAUGAUCAUGAGAUUGCUGGGAUAAUGGAGGCAUAUUAUUAUUGUGUAUUAGACCGUGACUCCUACAUCUCGAACUAGGAGGUCUUUGUGGUAUGACUAUACCAAAAUUCUAUACCAAAAUUCGGGGCCUUAAUUUCAGAUGUUUUUGUAGCUUGACAGCGACCAUAGAGUGGAAUCAAUGUUUUUUGUGAGACUUCAGCUUUGCAAACAGGGCAAUUUGGUUGUUGGUUAUCGAUGUUCUCUGAUGAAAUGGUCUUAAAAUGUAUCCAUUUGUAGAUGCAAGGCCAACAAUAGGAGGUGACCACAUAAUGUAACAACAGGAUCAUGUACAACAUCUAGGCAAAUGUUGCACUCGAAACCUCCAGGUGAAUUUUCUUCAAGUUUAUCAAGAUCAAUUGUCUCCAUUUUUCAAAGGAAAUAUCGCGUUGAUCAAAGGUAGUUUCUGCUAUUUGGUCUUGAAAAAUUUGUUCUAAGGCCAUAUUUGCCUCUUGGUAUUGAAUUAUUUUGGUAAUGGCAAGAUGAAGAAUGGUUAGAAUUCAGGUUUUUAAUACAAUUAGAAGUGAGUAUUUAUAAGGACAAAGAAUAGUAGUUUGCAAACAAUGAUUCUUAAGGUUGUCACUUGUCAACAUCACAUUAUGUUAAAGGGGCAUGGCCAAAAAGAAAAGGCCCUACACAUUAUUAAACAACACUAUAUCAUAUUACUCAACAGUCUUGAUUUAUGGGGUAUUGUUUGAUUUGAUAUAACAUUUAAUAAGAAAAUGAAGACUUUUAAAAUAUGUACUGUAUUAAAGAUAAAAAAUAAAUUUUAAGUUUUUCGAUCCUAGAAAUGAUAUUCUUUUUAUAUUAAGACUAAAACAAAUGUUUUACAUAAAUUAAGAUAGAUGAACUAUCAAACACAUCAUAAUUAAGUGAUUUAAUGAAGUCAAAAAUAAAUAUUAAUGGAUCAUGGUUAAGUGAGAGGAGUUUUGUGCAAACACGUCUUUUAUCUAUCUAUUUGAUUUAAACAAGCAUAAGUUUUAUCAUAUUAGAAAUAUGAUUAGGACCUUAUAUUAGGCCCCAUGAUAGGAAUCUUAAUCUAGAAAAUAACUUUUAGUCAAUAAAAAGUAGCACUAGUUGCGUACAAGGAGCUACCACUUGAUGACCUUCCACACUUCCACAUCCCAUAAGUUCAAUAGUUUUCACACUAUAAGAACUAGAUGUUUUUUUCCGCGUGAAUCAAUAAAAUUUUUAGUUUUAUGUUAUAAAACAUGAUUUUUUUCAUUUUGAUUUUAUUAAACUAAUUCACUAAGAAAAUUCAUAACGAAACAUAAGUUCUCAUUGAAAUACUGGAAAUAGUCACUUGGAAAUUUAUGAGUUUUAGGAAAUUAUGCAUCAAAACUUAGAAAGACGCGGCUCAUAUAGAAAUUUGUUGUUAAAUCAUAAUAUAUACUUUUACAUCUGAAUAUCUUUAUUGAUUUGGUUAAAAUUAUAAUUAAAAAAAUUACAAUACAAUAUAUAUAGAUUCACAUAAAUUUAAUACUGUAAGUUCAAUUAUUAUUCAAUUAUUAUUAUGAUAUAUUAAUCUAAAAUUAUUAUAGAAGCUUCUAAACUCUAAAUUCAGAUCCAACUAAGGAGUGAAUAUACAUAGUGGGGGUCUGGGGGAUGGGAGAAAACAUAUGGACGGUGUGACAAAUAAAUAAAAGAAAUACUCCGUCCAUUCCAUUUGACUUAGUAUUGUUUGACUUAAUACGAUGUAUAAGAGAAAAAAAAGAUUUUAGAAAAUUAUAGGCUAAAACAAUUUUUAUAUAUUUAUAUAAUUGUAAAUCAUUUCAUUAAUUAAGGGUAGAUGGAGAAUUUUAAGUUUAAUUAUUUUCAAUUACAAUAAAAUGACAUUUUUAAAGACGGAUUAUGAGAAUAGAGUGCCACGUAAAAUAAAACGAGAAAAUACUACUCCCUCCUUCCCAUUUUAUAUGUUACCUUUUUACUUUACAUUUACAUUAAGAAAUAAUGUAACUUUACCCUUCUACCCUUAUUUAAUGUUUUCUUAAGUUAACUUUAUAACUCCCUCCGUCCCAUUUUAUAUGUCAUCUCUUUCUAUAAAUAGUUGGACCACAAUACUUGUCAUUUUAUAAAAUUUAUGUAUAAAUUACCAUAUUUUACCUAUUAUAUCCUUGAUAGAGUAGUUAAUUAAUCUUGAAAAUAUAUUCAUCAUUUAUUAUAAAUUGACUUAAGAAAAUAUUAAAUAAGAAUAGAAAGAUAAAAUUACAUCAUUUCUUAAUAAAAGUAUAAAGUAAAAAUGUGACGUAUAAAAUAGAACGGAGGGAGUACUACAAAAGAACGAGUCCGCACAUGCAUUAUACAAGUACUACAUGUGUCUCGAAUUUAGCAGCCUUUUGUCAACUUUUUAUAUUUUGGCUUACUUGGAAGCAAGUCUAUCCUCUCCUAUACAAUCAAUUAGGGUGGCCAUUAAUCAUAUAUUAUUAGGCUAAAGAUAACAUAUUGCUCCCUCCGUUUUUAAUUAUUUAUCCAUUUUUUUAGUUAUUCCUAAUUACUUGUCUAUUUUUACAAAUCAAGAAAGAACAAUUUUUUUUACCUAUUAUACCGUCAAUUUAUUACUUUGAAAAAAGUAGAACUUUUUGAAAAUCUUGAGUUUUUAAUUCAUCCACUUCAUAAUUAAUAUGGAUAAAAUGGUAAACUCACUAUUUCAAUAAUUGUUUUCUUAAUAGGUGUGCCAAUUCAAAAAUGGACAAGUAAUUAGGGAUAGAGAAAGUAUAUCGAAAUAAUAUAAUAAGAUAUUAUGCUAAAGAUAAUUAACAAAACUUUGAACAAUUAUAAAUAAGAUAGCAAAAAAAUCCAUAGUAAAUUAACAUGGUUCAACGAUUAGUGAUGGAAUCUGAAUAUGAUUCAGGAUUUUCACUAUUAAUGAAAUUCAAAAGGAAUAAUACAUAAAUGUGCCCUUUAACUUGACUUCAUUUUAUGUUUAUGUCCUUCAACUUUGGGUAUACACAAAUAUGCACCUAAACUUGUAUAAAGUUGAACAACUAGACACAUGAGUCCUACAUGACACAAUACACAUAAGAUACCACGUAGGAUAAAAAAUGCCAUGUAGGACAUGUGUGUCUAUUUUUUCAACUUUAUACAAAUUUAAAUAUCUACUUGUGCACACCCAAAGUUGAAGGGCAUAAAUGUGAUUUGAAGCCAAGUUAAAGGGUAUAUUUAUGUAUUAUGCCUAUUCAAAAUAUGAAUAAAUAAACAUAUAAAUUAGCUGACUACAAUAAUAGACAGAUAAAAAAUAAUUUUAACUAUAUGUAUAAAUAAUAUAAUUUUUCAUCGAAAGAGGUUCAUCUGAUUCCUCACUACUUUCUCUCAUUCAAAACUAAGCAAUAUGAGACUUUCAUGUCACAUGGAACCCUUUUUUUUUUUUUUGGAAAUCUCAGUAGUUCAGUUAAUUGACUGACUAUCUGAAUUCUCGAUUUCCCAUGUUGUAAUCCUCUACCCCAAUUUUUUUAUUACCUUCCUCACAUAUGUAUAAGACCGAAUCCAAAUAUCUAAGAUGAGAGAAUUUUGGGAGAGCCACCGACUCCAACUACUGCCAUAUAUUAUCCAUAUUAGAUUUGACCAACUAUCCAUCCUACCCUCCUCUACGUUCUUGACAACCCAUUUUUGUCUUAGUCAAGUCUUUUAGUGGCACGUUUUGAUCCUCUUUUCAAUUACUUAGAAAAAGUGAGUUAUUAUUCAGAUACAAAAUACUAUCAUUAUCGCCUAAAAAAUUAGACAUUCAACCCGUAAUCACAAUGAUCCAAUUACAAAAGCUCCGAACCCCCUAGGUCUAGACUGGCUCUGGCCCUAGUUUUAUCUCUUGACCUUCACAUGAGUAAACUCGUUGAUAUAGAGGAUUACAGUAUUGAUUUCUUUAAAAGAAAAAAACCUUAAUUUAAGGUAUGGAGGCCUAGAAAGGAAACACACGUUAUAUAUGGAGCCUGUUCUGGCCUAUACAGUAUAUAUGUACAUAAAAUUUGGAGUAUCUAAAGAACCACUGACAAAUGGCUACGAAAGAUCAUAUACAAUUAAAUUACAAGCCAUUUGCAAUCAUCCUGCCACCUUAAGCAGAAAAAAUGAAAACGAAUAAAACAAACACUCACACAUUUGGCUUCUGAUUUGACAUUUAUUUCAGAGAACUGGCUAGUCCUCAGAACACCUUAACUACUCGCUGCAGAAAAAGAAAAAAAAGACGCAAAAAAUGGAAAAUAAUAUGUUAGAUGUCCCAUAAUUAAGGAACAAGAGAACAUUAUAGCAAGAAUGAGCAUGCAGGUACGUAUAAGAACUUACACAUUAUUGCGGCAAGAAGCAACUUCUUUCUCAAAGUCAUCAUCAUCAUCAUCAUCUUCAUCUGUUGUCACACUAUCGAAAAUGCUUGCAACAAAAGAUGAAAAAUGAAAUGUUACACUUCCCAAAAUCAAGAAUGAACAUGCAAGUAUAACAAGUUACAAAAUAUUGGAAGGAUUCGAAUCAAUCACAAUGACAGCAUCAAGAACUUUUGUUGAAUUGAUGCAAUUUGACUUACUAAAGCUAUUAUCCAGAUUAUUAUCGAGUUUACUAUGAUGAUGAGUUAAAUAUUGUUGUAAAUCAAGGAAGAAGAUGUCUUACAAAAGAUUCACGAGUAUGGACCUCGAUAGAGCUUCCAUAGUUGUCUUGAAUGUCCUGUUGAAUUUGCUUGGCGGAAUUCCCAACAGAUUGUUUACAGUCACUUAUAUCAAUAAGAGCUAGUGUGGUUAUAUCUGCAAAAUCUCGAGGGAUUGAAUCCAAAGAAUAGCAAUCUUUAAGAAAAAGUCGUUCAAGGUACGGAAAGUGAUCACUACUAGCUCUCCAGUACCGAAUGUAUACUCUAUCCAGAAACAAGAACUUUAAGUGAGGAAACCCUUCCUCAACUACUUCCCACUCCUCGCCUAUGAAGGCAUUGUCUGAUAGUUUAAGGACCUCGAGUUUGGAUAAUUUACCAACAAUGCUCAAAUCCUUCCAUGCCAAAGAAAAUUUUCCCCUAAAAGUUAAACUCUUAAGGUUUUGUGGAAAAGCAUCCGGAGGAGGUAAGAGUAAAGUUGGAACAUCAGUUGGAGGUGCAGUUCCCCCGAAACGAGUCUGAAACCUCAGAGGAUCUUGCGGAGUAGAACCUGAAGGUGCAGUGUUUUUUAGAAAGCAAGCAAUAGGUGAAUAAUAAAUACCAAAUGUCAAUUUCUCGAGCUGAUAUAAGUAGCGAAAAUCAUACAGGUCCUUGUGAUUGCGAAAGUCCUCUGGGACGCCAAAUACUUUCAACUUCUUUAAAUUGGGAAAUAGUCUAAAAAAAGACCCUGUACAAUACCGAGGAUUCAAUUGAUUGAGGCAUUGCAAACUUUUCAAAACCAAUCUGUUCUCUGUAGGCUCAUGACUCUGCAAGUAAUUCCAGCCCAUAUGCAGCUUCCUCAAUUGUGGCAUCGUCAAAAUUUCCGAUGGUAAUAUGAAAGGAUAACUACUAUUGGGAAAUGGAAGGUAAAGUUUAAAAGUUUGCAGAUAGCAUAGGCUUGAUAUCGAUAGAGGAAUGUCUAUUAUUGAUGAGGGAACAGCUUCUUUCGAUCCUCGAUACUGCUUUAAGCAAGGCUUAAAACACAAAGAUAGGUAUCUCAAAUGAAAUAGAGAAAGUACUCCACUGGGAAAAAAUGGGCAUAUAGUCAAACCAAGAUCUAGUACUCUUACUAGCUUGAAAGACAAUGCCAGUGUGACGCAUUUGAAUCCACCCAACAUGAUAAUAGAAUGAGCCUCACUGCUACAACACCAAACCAAUUUUUUCUCAUUAUGGAUUCUGAUCCGAUUUCGACUCUUAAAGGAACACUGCAUGGAUUGUUCACAUGAAUUUUGAUAACUCUUUCCUCUGAUAACAUUCACAAAAUUCAUGUUUCGAGCUUCCCUCAAACAGAGUUCACGGGUCACAUCAUGCAUUCCACAACUUUCUAUUGUUCCACGAAAACUAAAAUUGUGGAUGAAAAUUAAGCUUCUAUCUAUAAGUUCAUUUAUACAUGUUGUUGCCACCUCUUCUAUGCUUUUUCCCUCUUCUUCAUUCAAAAACCCCUCUACGGCCCAUAAUUCAACAAGUUUAUUUACAUAAAUCUGUUCAUCCUCUGCGAAAAUUGCAAAAUACAGAAAACACGGUUUUAGGUGAGAAGGCAAGUGAUGGUAACUCAAAGCCAACACUCUCAUGCACUUUGCUUCAAGAUCUGUGCUUACCACUGAACUUACAUUCUCCGCAACAUAUUGCCACACACCCAAUGUUUUACUGAUUUUGGAGAGAAGUCCAGCAAUCACAGUAAUUGCUAGAGGUAACCCUCCACAUUUUAAUGCAAUUUGUUUCCCAAUAUUUUCAAAUUCAGGAGAAUAAGAACCUUCUUUUUCAAAGAUCUUUUUGUGUAGUAAAUUCCAACUUUCGUCAAAAUUCAUGAGGCGCAUGUGAUGAGGAGGCUUACCUGACCUAGCACAUUCAGCCACUUCCACAUUCCGAGUAGUCAGGAGUAUUCUGCUUCCAUUAUAACAGUCUGGGAAACAUAGUUUUAUAUCAUCCCAAGCUUCUGUAGUCCAUAUGUCAUCAAUGACUACCAAGUAUCUCCUGCCUUUCAGAUGCUUCUGCAAUCGGUCCGCUAGCUGAUCAUCAGGUUCAUCACUUAUCGAAGGAAGAAGGCCUAGGAUUACAUUUCUCACACAAUACUCUUGUGAAACAGUUGCUUUUGCACGAAUAUCAAAUCGAGACAUAAUGUAAGGAUCACUAUAGAGUUUUGUAGCCAAAGUUGUUUUCCCGAUACCUCCCAUCCCUACGAUUGAGACAACUUCUAGUUCCCUUCCUCCUCUAGCAAGUUGAUCCAGCAUCAUCUCAAAUUCAUUUUCACGGCCAACCAUUAUAUUCUCGGGCUGCUCAACAGCAUGUUCAGGUAAACUGACAAGUGAGCUAGUUUGUGGUUUUAGAUCUUUCAUGCUGUCCGAUGCUGCCAUCCACUGUUUCACGGUGGAAGCAAUGCAUUCUAGUGCUUGUUCCAAGACGAAAAAAAUCUCCCACAUAGCCCUGCUUCUUUCCUCCAAAUUCUGUGCUAAAAAAACAUUUCUUGAUUCCGAGUCAACCAUAUCUUCUGUUGUGUAUGCUACCUCUGCGAUUUCAACUUCCAAGAUUGUUAACCCCUCAUGAUCGCCCAUUAUAUUGCAGGAUUUCUCCAGAAUAGCUCUCAAAGAUUUGAGCUUUUCAUAAAACGGUUGCAAAUCACAUCCAGUAAGUUCCAUUGAUUGAUGUAUGGUUCUCAUAAGGGAAGUAACAGCAGCAUAAGCCAUAUAUCCAAAAAAUAGAAAUAUCUCUCAGUAUGAAAAUGGACAAAUUGCCACAAGUUAUGUAAUUUUUCAGUUUUUAAGAAAACAGAAAAUGCAAAGUUCUUUCUUUUACUAGCUAUUUCCAUCACAUUUCCAGCUAGGUCCACCAACCUUAUCAUCAUGUAGACAAAAGCAGAGACCAAAGUUAAAAAAAAAAGAAAAAAGGCAGGACUCUAACAGGAAAAAGUAGAAAAAAUUGUGACCAUUCAUUAUUAGACCCUACACUUAUCUAUUCAUGAAUAUAGGUAUGUUUCUUACAUACAAGAGAUUGAUGAUUUUAAUUCCAUUGAAAGCAACUUCGUAGAAUUUUCCAAAUCAAAGAGAGAGAAAUAUUAAGAUCCAAGUAGGAAUUUCUCUAUUCCUAGUUCGAUUCAAUUAACCAAGCAUAAAUAUCUCUUUAAAUAUAUAUGAGAAGUUUAGACUCUAAAAGUCAAAUCAACAAAAUAUUUAUGGGCUAACACAUGAAAAACUAUUGAGAAAAUUGCCUAAUUUCUGUAAAUUGGCCCUUAAAUCUCCAAAAUGGACUCUAAAAAUUGUCAGACUGUACGUAUUGCUCCCAACUCCCUACUAAGGGUUCUGUAAUUUCGAUUAGAAUUCGCCCGUAAGUCAUAUCACCAAUAUAUUAAUGACUAACACACACGAAAAACUAAGAAAAUUGUCUAAUUUCUUGAAAUUGGCCCCUAAAUGCCUAAAAUGGACUCUAAAAAAUUGUCAGACUGUACGUAUUGCUCCCAACUACCUACUAAGGGUUCUGUAAUUUCGAUUAGAAUUCGCCCGUAAGUCAUAUCACCAAAAAUAUUAAUGGGCUAACACACACAAAACACUGAGAAAGUCGCCUAUUCCUGUAAAUUGGCCCCUAAAUGCCCAAAAUGAACUCUAAAAUUGUGAGACUAUGUACUGCUCCACUAACUCCCUAUGGAGGGUUCCGUAAAGAUUUCACAAAGAAAUUAUUCGGAAGAUAUAUCACCAAAAUAUUUAUGGGCUAAUACAUUUUUAUUUGUCCAUUUGAUUUGAUAUAUCUUUCAAGUACUUUGAUCCGGUUAUACUUUUUUUUUAUUGCUAAAAAUAAAUAUCCACUUUUACUUGUUCAUUCUACAAAACAAAGACAAUAUUUUAUUGCUUGAUUCAGAUAUAAAAUUUGAGUAGGCUAAUUUACAAACCAUCUGUAGUCAUCCUGCCCCUAUGCUAUAACAUUUGAAAGAAAGAGGUCAUCAUCAUCAUAUUCAUCAUCGUUGUCAUCUUCAUCUUCAUCUUCAUCAUCAUCUUCAUCUUCAUCAUCAUCUUCAUCAUCAUCUUCAUCUUCUUCAUCAUUAUCAUCAUCAUCAUCAUGAUCGUCAUCGUCACUUGUUUCCUCACUGUUGAAAAAGCCAGCAACAAAAGAUGAAAAAUGAAAUGUUAUGCAAGUAUAACAAGUUACACAAUUACUAUAUUGGAAGGAUUUAAAUCAUAUACAAUGACAACGUAUGAACUUUUACACUAUAGGUGCCAUUUAACUGCUUAUUAAAGCAACUUAUAAUUAUUUUAUUACUAGUUCUGGACACAUGCUUUGCAUGUGUAUAUUACACGUUUAGUCACGAUUGUAAGAGGGUGUACACCAGGAUCAUUCGAAGAGCAAAGUCGUGUGAGCCUUACAGAUAUUCUUGACGUACUCCUAUUAAAAUCUGUAUCAUAAUAUCUGAUGAAAUCAGCUACUGAUCAGUCAAGCUCUCCAUUGAUGUAGACUUCAACUACACAUGAGAAAGAAUGAGAGAAGAAGAGAGAAGAGAAGAGAAGAAGAAUCUAGAAGAGCAACAUGAAAAUUAAUCUCUCAUUGAAUGUGAAUUAAAACUACAAGAAUUACAAUGUGACUAUAUAUAUAUAAUCACUGGCAGAAAUUAACUAACUAACAAACUUGAUUCUAACUAACUCUACUGUACAUAGAUUCUAACUAACUCUACUGUACAUAACCGACUCUACUGUACAUAACUAACUAAUUAUACUUUAUAUUCUCAUCACCCCCCCUCAAGUUGGAGGUGAUGUAAUUACAGACAACUUGUGCAAUAAGGCAGUAUGUUUAACUCCAGUCAGAGCCUUGGUGAAGAUGUCUGCCAACUGUGAAUCAGUGGGAAUAUGAUGGAGUGUGAUUAGGCCUUGUUGAAGCUUGGUCCUAACAAAGUGACAAUCGAUUUCUAUGUGCUUUGUCCUCUCAUGAAAAACUGGAUUCUUUGCAAUGUGGACUGCUGCUUGACUGUCACAAUGGACAGGGAUAGGUAAGGAGCAUUGUACAGUCAACUCAUCCAACAAUCGUUCAAGCCACACUAGUUCUCCUACAACUUGUCUCACAGCUCUAUAUUCAGCUUCAGCAGAUGACAAAGACACUGUUGCUUGCUUCUUAGACUUCCAGCUGACAGGACUAUCACCCAGAAGCACUAGGUAUCCACUAACAGACUUCCUGGAAUCAGGGCAAGCAGCCCAAUCAGAAUCACAAUAAGCACUGAUAGUGAGAUCAGGCUUGUUUGAGAUAAAAAUUCCCAAUGUUGGAUCCUGUUUCAAAUAUCUGAGCACAUGGUAUGCUGCUUUUAAAUGUGGUUCCCUAGGUGAUUGCAUAAAUUGGCUCAAGUGUUGUAUACUAUAAGCUAUGUCCAUUCUAGUGUUGGUCAAAAAAUUUAGCUUACCAACCAACUUCCUGUAUUGAGUAGGAUCAGAUAAAAGAUUGCCAUCUGUAGCUGUUAACUUCUCAGUGCAAUCAAGUGGUGAUGUAGUGGCCUUGUGACUUAACACAUCAAAAUCUUUCAGGAGAUCAGAAGUGAAUUUCCUUUGUGAAACUAGCACUCCAUCAUGUCUGUAUAAUAUUUCCAGUCCCAGAAAGUAGUGUAGUUUGCCCAAAUCCUUUAUCUUGAACUGAUCAUUUAAGAAGCUCUUUAAGGAGUUGAUUUCAGCCACAUCUGUUCCAGUUAGAAUUAUGUCAUCCACAUAUACAGCAACAAACACCAAGGAGCAGCCCUUCCUUUUGUAGAACAGUGAGUAAUCACUGUCUGAGUGCUGAUACCCUCUUGAACAUAGACAGUUUGCCAACUUCUCAUACCAUUGCCUGCUGGCCUGUUUUAGUCCAUACAAAGACUUCUUCAAUUUGCACACCAUGUUAUCACAACCUACUACAAGACCUUGUGGAGGUGCCAUGUACACUUCCUCAUGCAAAUCACCAUGUAAGAAUGCAUUAUUGACAUCUAGCUGAUACAAGCUCCAAUCUUUCUUAACAGCUAAAGAGAUUAAUGUUCUAACAGUAGUCAUUUUAACUACAGGUGAGAAGGUUUCAGUGUAAUCUACCCCAACUUGUUGUGUAUAACCUUUGACCACCAACCUACACCCCAGCUUGUUGUGUAUAACCUUUGACCACCAGCCUAGCCUUGAACCUCUCCACACUCCCAUCAGCUUUGUGCUUGAUUUUGUACACCCACUUGCACCCAAUAGCUUUCUUCCCAUCAGGUAACAUGACCAUCUCCCAAGUGUCAUUAGCAUACAAAGCUUCAAACUCCUGUGUCAUGGCCUGCUGCCAGGCAGGGUGCAAUAUUGCUUCCUCAAAUGAAAUAGGCUCACAUUCAUGUGAAAUGGUUGUUACUAACUGCUGACUAUCAGAACAAAGACUGGUGAAACAUACAUGUUUAUGGGGAGAUAUAAAGGAAGUGAGGGAGUGCAGCUUAGGUAUAGUGUAGGUGUAUUCUUUUAGGUAAUUAGGAGUGUGUAUGGUUCUGGUUGUUCUUCUAGGUGCUGAUAUUGUAGGUACUGGUAAAGUAUCAUGAUGCAUGGUGGCAUUUGGAUCAGGUAAGGUAGGUUGAGUUGUAGUAGGUUGAGUUGUAGGUUCAUGUAGGACAGCAGGUGGUACUUCAUUCAUGUUGGUAUUACUGGUUACUUGAUUAUUAGUGACUUCAUGUGGUGUGAAAUUUUCCAGUUGAUCAUCAUUAGCAAAAAUGUUCAUUUUACCAGACAUACAAGGCAUGCUAGUGGUAUGAGUAAGCAUUUGCAGAAUGGAAUUGAAACUAGAACCAUCAGGGGCAAUAACAAAAGGAAAAAUAUUUUCUUGAAAAAUAACAUCUCUUGAUAUAUGAACUUUCUUGGUAGCUAAAUUCAAAACUUUGUAACCUUUUGUAUUGAAAGGGUAACCAACAAAAACAUGAGGUGUGGUUCUAGGUUCAAAUUUAUCUUUGUGAGUUUUCAAGGUAGUGGGGAAACAAAGACAACCAAAACUCUUAAGGUGGGAAUAUGUAGGUGAUUUAUGGUACAACAUUUCAUAUGGAGAUUUAUUCUGUAAAAGUUGAGUGGGCAGUCUAUUAAUCAGGUAUGUGGCAGUCAAUACACAUUCCCCCCAGUACCUCAUAGGCAACUUUGACUGAAACAAAAGUGCCCUUGCUGUUUCAAGUAGGUACUUAUGUUUCCUUUCUACCACCCCAUUUUGUUGAGGUGUAUAAGGACAAGUUCUUUGGUGUAUGAUACCUUGUUUUGGAAGAAAUUUGUGGCUUCAGCUGAAGUAAACUCUAACCCAUUGUCAGAUCUUAUGGCUUUUUAACUUGGUUUGGAAUUGGUUUUCUAUGAGAGAUAUGAAGGCUUUGAUAGUUUGGAGAGCAUUACUCUUACAUCUCAGCAAUUGUGUCCAAGUGGACCUACUGUGGUCAUCUACCAUAGUGAGGAAAUAAUGAUAUCCAUCAUGAGUGGGAACAUGAUAUGGUCCCCAUAGGUCAACAUGUAACAACUCAAACACUUUAGUGGUGGUGGUGAUACUUUCUGGAAAAGGCAUCCUAGUUUGCCUAGCCAUAGGGCAUAUAUUGCAAGUAAAAGGCUGUUUAGGAGAAAAAUGAACAGGUAUAGUUGAGAUAUUUUUCAUUUUUACAAAAGGUACAUGUCCUAAUCUAGCAUGCCACAAAAGUUCAUCAUCAUGAGUGUGAUUAGAGACAUUUGUAAAUGAAGGACAAGCAUGAGUAAAACAAGAGGAAGGAAAAACAGUACAAUCUGCCUUAUUCAUAGGAGAGUAUUUUACAGAAGAACCAGUGGACACAUUAGAAUCUGAAACCCUGCUAGUAUUGCCUAAAGAAGAGACAAGAGGACAAUUAACAUGAGGUGCUUUACUCUCAGCAGAUGGACAACAAUUGUGGCAUUUGUGACACAAGAAGUACAGGCCAUUCUUGGCUUUACCAAGUUCCAGAGGGCUCUUCAGAGAAGGGCCCUGCAGCAAACAAGAAGAUUUGUCAAAGCUGACUACACCAUUGAAUUGUAGUGCUAAACAAUGAACAGAAAUGAGAUUAAACUUGAAGCUAGGUACAAACAACACUUUGCUUAGAGUCAAAGCUGGAUUUAAACAAGCAUCACCAAUUUCAGUCACUUUAACCUUGUAACCAUUAGGGAGUGAAAUUAGAAAGGGAUAUGGAAGUGAAAUGAUGUUUGUGAGGGUGGUCUUAUCAUAGGUCAUAUGGUGUGAUGCUCCUGAAUCUAUGAUCCAAGAGCCAGCAGUCAGUUUAACACAUUUACAAGAAAGAUCACCUAUAUCAGUAAUAGAGGAAUAACAUGCAAGUAUACCUGCCAAGUUCACAGCUCCAUUCAGCAUGUUGUUUGAGUUGUCUGAGGCUCCAUUUCCAACUUGUAAAGUUCCCAGGAGAUUGAGUAGUUGUUCAUAUUGAUCUUUGGACAAGUUCAAUGGCAUUUGUCUCCUUACUUCAGGUUCCUCUUCAGAUUGAACUCCAUUCAUAUCAGGGGCACACACAUUUGCUGCAGCUUUUCCCUUUUUGAACCUUGGAUUUGGAUUGGAUGGGUAUCCAUGAAGCUUGUAACAUCUAUCCUUUGUGUGUCCUGAUUUCUUACAGUAGUCACAAAACAAAGAAGACUUGCCAGUGCUAGAAUUGCCUCUAAACCCAGUAUUACCAGAAUUGGUUCCACCUCCUCCAGAUGAACUGUAGUUUGUCCGGAAUCCCCUGUAUCCUGCACUGCUGUUGGUCUGUCCAUAAGCAUUGAGAGAGGUAGAAUCCAAGGCUGUAUGAUUAUGAGGCUUCACCUCCCUUUGUUUUUCCUCUUGGGAUAAUAUGGCAAAAGCUUGAGCCAUGCUUGGAAGUGUGUUCAUCAUGAGAAUGCUGCCUCUGACAGUCGUAUAUAUCUCAUUCAAUCCCAUUAGAAAAUGUAUCAAUCUUCUGUCUUGUUCAGCCUUGUGUAAUUUGCUUUUACCCCCACAAAUGCACACACAAGUACACUGAGAAUUGACAUCAAUGGUACUCAUUUCCUCCCACAACUUCUUCAUUCUUGUGUAAUAUCCAGUGAUGUCUAAAGUGCCUUGGACCAGAUCAUUAAUUUCCUUCUGCAGUUGAUACAAUUUACACCCAUUGGUUUGAUCGUACCUUUCUUCUAGUUCUCCCCAAAGCUCCUGAGCAUUAUUGACAUACUGCAGACUAUCACGCAAAUCUGGUGACAAGGAAUUCAGGAUCCAAGAUGUGACCAUAUCAUCACACCUUUCCCAUUGCUGAAAGCUAGGAUCAGUAGGAUCAGGUCUCACAACCUUCCCAUUAAUGAAUCCUGUCUUGCUCUUAACAGAUAAAGCCCUGAGAACUGCUCUUCUCCAGGAUCUGUAACCAGUUCCAUCAAAAACUGCAGGUAAUAGGGAUGAACUUGCAUUCUCAGAUGGAUGCAAGUAGAAAGGACUAGGGAUUUCUACCCUAACAGUGGAUGCAGAAGCAUUUGGAAUGGAAUCAUUUGAAGAAUCGACCAUUGUGAAUUGAAAAUUGGGAAGAAGAUCAAGUCGAGAACAACCAGAUCAAACAGCGUUCACAAACAAAAUUGACAGAUCGAAGAUCCAGUCGAGAUCAACCAGAUCAAAGAAAAAAUUCACAUAAGAGAAAACGAAGCUCACAGAUUGAAUUGGAAACAAAAAAAAACAGGAGCAAUUCCCUGUGCUUUGAUACCAUGAUGAAAUCAGCUACUGAUCAGUCAAGCUCCUCCAUUGAUGUAGCUUCAACUCACAUGAGAAAAGAUGAGAGAAGAAGAGAGAAGAGAAGAGAAGAAGAAUCUAGAAGAGCAACAUGAAAAUUAUCUCUCAUUGAAUGUGAAUUAAAGAAGUGAGUAUUACAAUGUAUCUGUAUAUAUACACAAUCACUAAGCAACUAAUAAUCAUUGGCAGAAAUUAACUAACUAACAAACUUGAUUCUAACUAACUCUACUGUACAUAACCGACUCUACUGUACAUAACUAACUAAUUAUACUUUAUAUUCUCAUCAAUAUCCCUUUUUUCAAAUUUCAUAGCUGAACUACUAGGUGUGCGAGUUCCUACCAGAACUAUUACCAACUAUUUAUCAAAACACACAUCAACUAUAUAUGAGUUGUUCCCUUUUACUAGUGGUGAAAAAUAGGUGGAUUUGGACGGGACUGAAAAUGGAUUGAGCAACAUGGUCGUAACUCACUUUAAUCUCUUAAAGCCAGAAAACUUUAAAGAGUUAAUUGAAAUAAACUUAAUGACUAUCCUACUUGAAGUAUCACCAUCGUUCAGGUAAGAAAAAGGAAGUAAAUCAAGGAAGACGAUGUCUUACAAAGCCUGAUGGAUAUGGACCUCGAUAGAACCUCCAUAGUUGUCUUGAAUGUCCUGUUGAAUCUGCUUUGCGGAAUUCCCAACAGAUUCUGGGCAGUUUCUUAUAUCAAUUAGAGCAAGUGUGGUUAUAUCUGCAAAAUCUUGAGGGAUUGAGUCCAAAAACCUGCAACUAUCAAGAAAUAGUCGUUCAAGGCACGGAAAGUGAUCACAACUAGCUCUCCAGUACUGAAUAUGUGAUCUUUUAAGUAACAAGAACUUCAAAAAAGGAAACCCUUCCUCAGCUACUUCCCACUCCCUGCCUCUGCAUACACCCUGUGUUAGUUCAAGAAGUUCAAGUUUGGGCAAUUUUCCGACAACAAUGCUUAAAUCCUUCCAUGACAAGAAGAAAUUUCCUGUAAAAGUUAAAUUCUUAAGGUUUCGUGGAAAAGCAUCUGGAGGAGGUAAGAUCAAAGAUGGAACAACUUCUACAACAAGUGGAUUCCUUGUCUGAAAACACAUUCUCCUCUCCAAAAAGUAAGCAUUAUUUUGAGGAGGAAGACAAAAUGCUAGUUCCUCGAGAUGAUCUAAGUAGCGAAAAUCAUAGAGGUCUUUGUGACUAUGGAAGUCUUGUGGGAUGCCACGUACUUGCAACUCCUUUAAAUUGGGAAAUAGUCUAAAGAAAGAUGCAGUACAAUAGCUAGGAUUCCAUCCAAACAGAGAAUGUAAAUUUUUCAUAACCAAACUUUUCUCUGUAAGCUCAUGAUAUCGCAAGUAAUUCCGAUCCAAAUGAAGGUGCCUCAACUGUGGCAUAGUCAAAAUUUCUGAUGGUAAUAUCAAAGCAUGUUUACGAAGAUUAAUAACGAGUGGAAGGUAAAGUACCAAACUUUGCAGAUAGCAUAGGUUUGAUAUGGAUGUAGGAAUGUCUACUCUUGAUGAGAGAACAUCUUCUUCGGAUCCUAGAUAUUGCUCAACGUUAGGAUAAAUACGCAAAGCUAGGUGUCUUAAGUGAAUCAAAUAAAGUAUUUCACGGGGAAAAGUUAGACAGAUAUUAUCAGCAAGAUCUAGAACUCUUACUAGCUUGAACGGCAAGUACUCCCUCAUGCAACAUCGGAAUCUACCAAAUAAGAUAACAGAAUGAGCUUCACUGUUAAGGCACCUAACAUACUCUUUCUUAUUAUGGAUGCUGAUUCGACCUCGACUCUUAGACAAACACUGCAUAGAUUUCACACAUGGAUUUUGAUCAUUCUUACUUCCGAGAACAUUCACAAAAUUCAUGUUACGAGCUUCCAUCAUACAGAGUUCACGAGUCGUAUCAUGAAUUCCACAACACUUAAUUUUUCCAUCAAAAGUAGUACUUUCUAUGGAAAUUAAACUUCUAUCAAUAAGAUCUUGUAGGUACUUUUCUGCCACUUCUUCUAUGCUUUUCAUCUCUUCUACCUUCAAAAAUCCCUCUGUUUCCCACAAUAUCAUAAGUUUAUUGACAAAAAUCAGUUUAUCCUCUGGGAAGAUUGCGAAAUAUAAAAAGCAUGGUUUUAGGUGGUGAGGCAAGUAAUGGUAACUCAUUGCCAACACCCUCAUGCAUUGGACACCAACAUCUGUGCUUACUGCUGAACUUACAUUUUCAGCAACACUUUGCCACUCACUCAAUGCUUUGUCAAUUUUAGUGAGAAGUCCCGCGAUCACAACAAUUGCUAGAGGCAAUCCUCCGCAUUUCAAUGCAAUUUGCUUUCCAAGUUGUUCAUAUUCAGGGGAGAAAGAGUCUUUCGUAAAGACUUUUUCAUACAAUAAACUCCAACUUUCGUCAAAAUUCAUGAGGCGCAUGUGAUAAGGAGGCUUACCUGAGCUAGCAUAUUCAGCCACUUCCACAUUCCGAGUAGUCAAGAGUAUUCGGCUUCCAUUAUGAAAGUCUGGGAAACAUAUUUGUAUAUCAUCCCAAGCUUUUGUAGUCCAUAUGUCAUCAAUGACUACCAAAUAUCUCUCACCUUUUAGAAGCUUUUGUAGUCGAUCUGCUAGUUGCCCGUCAUGUAGCUGAUCAUAAGGUUUAUCACUUAUACAAGAAAGAAGGUCUAGGAAAACAUUUCUCACACAAUACUCUUGUGAAACAGUAGCUUUAGCACGAAUGUCAAAACGAUACAUCAUGCAUGGAUCGUUGUAGAGUUUCGUAGCCAAAGUUGUCUUGCCAAUGCCUCCCAUACCUACAAUUGAUACAACUGCUAGUUCUCUUUCUCCUCUAGCAAGUUGAUCCAGCAUCAUCUUGAAUUCAUUUUCAUAGCCAACCAUUAUAUCCUCGGACCGCUCAACAGCACGUUCAGGUAUCUUGGAUAGACAAAAAUUUUGUGCUUUGAAAUCUUUAAAGUUGUUGUACCAGUCCCAUAUUGCCAACCACUGCAUCAUGAAGGAAUCAAUGCAUUCUACCUCUUGUUCCAAGGAACAACAGAGUUCCCAGAAAGCUUUGCUUCGUGUAAUUACAGUUUCUGCGGAAGAAACUUUUCUUGAUUUCGAAUCAACCAUGUCUUCUGCUUUGUAUGCUACCUCCGCGAUUUCAACUUCCAAGGUUGUUAACCCCUCAUGAUCUCCCGUUAUAUUGCAGGAUUUCUCCAUAAUAGCUCUCAAAGAUUCAAGCUUUUCAUAGAAUGGUUGCAAAUCACAUCCAGUAAGUUCCAUUGACUGGUGUAUGGUUCUCAUAAGGGAAGUAACAGCAGCAUAAGCCAUAUAUCCAAAAAAUAGGAAUCUCUCACACUCAGUAUGAAAAUGGACAAAUUAAUUGCCACAAGUUAUGUAAUCUUUCUUUUACUAACUAUUUCCAUCACAUUUCUAGCUAGGUCCACUAACAGGUAAAGUAGAAAGAUGUGAGGUCCCUAACCUUAUCAUCAUGUAGACAAAAGAAGAGACCAAAGUUUUUAAAAAAAAGACAGGAAAAAGUAGAAAAAUUUGUGAUCAUUCAUUAUUAGACCCUACACUAAUCUCUUUAGAAAAAUAAACUAAAAUUUUAGUUUAAAUAAAGGAGUUCAAGCUGUAUAUUGAUAACGCCCAAUUCAAAUUCAAGUGUAGUACGGUCUAGCAAUAAUAAACUCAACAAAUGUUGGGGUCGAGGAGUAUGCUUGUGUCAAGGUGACAGAGAAUGCGAAUUUGCGAAUUUCCUAAGCUUAUCUACAAAUAAAAGGUCUUUCUUUUAGCUAGGUCCAUAAUCCAUGUAGUGCUCUCUACUCUCUAGUCUCUAUCAACCAACUCAAGUUUAAGGGUGUGUUUGGUAUGGAGGAAACAUUUUCUCUAGAAUAGGGAGAGUUUUGUGCAUAAACAAAGAAGAAUAUCUCAGUAUAACAGUGAAUGUGUAUUUUUUUUAUGAUUUGCUUCAUUUGAGUAUGACUUUUGUAAGAAAAUUCUGGUAAAAGUUUAAAAAAUGAUCUUGUGGAAUAAGCACAGUGAAUUCCUUAAUAUUCGAGUAGAAAAAGCCAGGGAGGAUAACAUUGCUAUUUGUACACUUAUCGUGACACGAGUAGUCUCUUAAAUAUUACACCUUUCUACUGGUGUUGCUGGUGCCACUGAAUUUAGCCUUCCGUCUUCCUUUGCGAGGUAGAUUGAGGACUCCCAAGAAAGGAAACACAAGGUACUGGAGUCUGUUCCGGCCUCUACAGUAUGUAUGUACAUAAAAUUUGGAGUAACUAAAAAACCACUGACAAAUGGCUAUACGAAAGAUCAUAUACAAUUUAAUUACAAGCCAUUUGCAAUCAUCCUGCCCCUUUAUGCAGAAUCUUUUCAAAGAAAAUGAAAACAAACACUCACACAUUUGGCUUCUGAUUGACAUUUAUUUCAGAGAACUGGCUAGUCCUCAGAACACCUUAACUACUCGCUGCAGAAAAAAAAAGACGCAAAAAAUGGAAAAUAAUAUGUUAGAUGUCCCAUAAUUAAGGAACAGGAGAACAUUAUAGCAAGAAUGAGCAUGCAGGUAUAAGAACUUACACAUUAUUGCGGCAAGAAGCAACUUCUUUCUCAAAGUCAAUAUCAUCAUCUUCAUCUAUUGUUACACUACAUCGAAAAUGCUUGCUACAAAAGAUGAAAAAUGAAAUGUUACACUUCCCAAAAUCAAGAAUGAGCAUGCAAGUAUAACAACUUACACAAUAUUGGAAGGAUUCGAAUCAAUCACAAUGACAGCAUCAAGAACUUUUGUUGAAUUGGUGUAAUUUGACUUACUAAAGCUAUUAUCCAGAUUAUUAUCGAGUUUACUAUAAUGAUGAGUUAAAUAUUGUUGUAAAUCAAGGAAGAAGAUGUACUUACUAAAGAUUACGAGUAUGGACCUCGAUAGAGCUUCCAUAGUUGUCUUGAAUGUCCUGUUGAAUUUGCUUGGCGGAAUUCCCAACAGAUUGUUGACAGUAACUUAUAUCAAUAAGAGCUAGUGUGGUUAUAUCUGCAAAAUCUCGAGGGAUUGAAUCCAAAUAAUAGCAACUUCUAAGAAAAAGUCGUUCAAGGUACGGAAAGUGAUCACUACUAGCUCUCCAGUACCGAAUGCAUACUUCAUGCAGAAACAAGAACUUCAAGUGAGGAAACCCUUCCUCAACUACUUCCCACUCCUCGCCUAUGAAGGAUUUCCAUGAUAGUUUAAGGACCUCGAGUUUGGGUAAUUUACCAACAAUGCUCAAAUCCUUCCAUGCCAAAAAGAAUUCUCCGCUAAAAGUUAAACUCUUAAGGUUUUGUGGAAAAGCAUCCGGAGGAGGUAAGCGUAAAGUUGAAACAUCAGUUGGAGGUGCAGUUGCCCUGAAAGGUAAGAGUAAACUUGUAUAAAGUUGAACAACUAGCCACAUGAGUCCUACAUGACACAAUACACAUAAGACACCAACUAUUUCCAUCACAUUUCCAGCUAGGUCCACUAACAGGAUAAAGUAGAAAGAUGUGAGGUCACUAACCUUAUCAUCAUGUAGACAAAAGAAGAGACCAAAGUUAAAAAAAAAAAAGACAGGAAAAAGUAGAAAAAUUUGUGAUCAUACAUUAUUAGACCCUACACUAAUCUCUUUAGAAAAAUAAGUUUCAAUAAAGGAGUUCAAGCUGUAUAUUGAUAACGUCCAAUUCAAAUUCAAGUGUAGUACGGUCUAGCAAUAAUAAACUCAACAAAAGUUGGGGUCGAGGAGUACACUUGUGUCAAGGUGACAGAGAGUGUUCUGGCCUAUACAGUAUGUAUGUAUGUACAUAAAAUUUGGAGUAUCUAAAGAACCACUGACAAAUGGCUAUACGAAAGAUCAUAUACAAUUAAAUUACAAGCCAUUUGCAAUCAUCCUGCCACCUUAUGCAGAAAAAAUGAAAAUUCUGAUUUGACAUUUAUUUCAGAGAACUGGCUAGUCCUCAGAACACCUUAACUACUCGCUGCAGAGAAAAAAAAAAGACACAAAAAAUGGAAAAUAAUAUGUUAGAUGUCCCAUAAUUAAGGAACAAGAGAACAUUAUAGCAAGAAUGAGCAUGCAGGUAUAAGAACUUACACAUUAUUGCGGCAAGAAGCAACUUCUUUCUCAAAGUCAUCUUCAUCUGUUGUUAUAUCGAAAAUGCUUUCUACAAAAGAUGAAAAAUGAAAUGUUACACUUCCCAAAAUCAAGAAUGAACAUGCAAGUAUAACAAGUUACACAAUAUUGGAAGGAUUCAAAUCAAACACAAUGACAGCAUCAAGAACUUUUGUUGAAUUGGUGCAAUUGGACUUACUAAAGCUAUUAUCCAGAUUAUUAUCGAGUUUACUAUGAUGAUGAGUUAAAUAUUGUUGUAAAUCAAGGAAGAAGAUGUCUUACAAAAGAUGACGAGUAUGGACCUCGAUAGAGCUUCCAUAGUUGUCUUGAAUGUCCUGUUGAAUUUGCUUGGCGGAUUUCCCAACAGAUUGUCGACAGCUACUUAUAUCAAUAAGAGCUAGUGUGGUUAUAUCUGCAAAAUCUGGAGGGAUUGAAUCCAAAUCAUAGCAAUUUCUAAGAAAAAGUCGUUCAAGGUACGGAAAGUGAUCACUACUAGCUCUCCAGUACCGAAUGUAUAUGUUAUCCAGAAACAAGAACUUCAAGUGAGGAAACCCUUCCUCAACUACUUCCCACUCCUCGCCUAUGACGGCAUUGUCUGAUAGUUUAAGGACCUCGAGUUCGGGUAAUUUACCAACAAUGCUCAAAUCCUUCGAUGCCAAAAAGAAUUCUCCGCUAAAAGUUAAACUCUUAAGGUUUUGUGGAAAAGCAUCCGGAGGAGGUAAGAGUAAAGUUGGAACAUCAGCUGGAGGUGCAGCUUUCCCGAAUUGUGUCUUUUUGUACAAUAAUUUCGUCUGAAACCUCAGAGGAUCUUGCGGAGUAGAACCUGAAGGUGCAGUGCUUUCUAGAACGCAAGCAGCACCUGGAUAAUAAACACGAAAUGCCAAUUUCUCGAGCUGAUAUAAGUAGCGAAAAUCAUACAGGUCCUUGUGAUUGCGAAAGUCCUCUUGGACGCCAAAUACUUUCAACUUCUUUAAAUUGGGAAAUAGUCUAAAAAAAGACCCUGUACAAUUCCGAGGAUUCAAUUGAUUGAGACAUUGCAAACUUUUCAAAACCAAUCUGUUCUCUGUAGGCUCAUGACUCCGCAAGUAAUUCCAGCCCAUACGCAGCUUCCUCAAUUGUGGCAUCGUCAAAAUUUCCGAUGGUAAUAUGAAAGGAUAACUAUCGGUAAAUGGAAGGUAAAGUUUAAAAGUUUGCAGAUAGCAUAGGCAUGAUAUCGAUAGAGGAAUGUCUAUUAUUGAUGAGGGAACAGCUUCUAUCGAUCCUCGAUACUGCAGUAAGCAAGGAUUAAAACACAAAGAUAGGUAUCUCAAAUGAAUUAGAGAAAGUACUCCACUGGGAAAAAUUGGGCAUGGAGUCCAACCAAGAUCUAGUACUCUUACUAGCUUGAAAGACAAUUCCAGUGUGAUGCAAUUGAAUCCACGCAACAUGAUAAUAGAAUGAGCCUCACUGUUACGACACCAAGCCAAUUCUUCCUCCUUAUAGAUACUGAUCCGACUUCGCUUCUUAAAGGAACACUGCAUGGAUUGUGCACAUGAAUUUUGAUCACUCUUUCCUCUGAUAACAUUCACAAAAUUCAUGUUUCGAGCUUCCCUC
rnacentral:lncRNA from 1 species